UGAAGUAUUUUUAGUCUCUUUGAGAGAAUUCUAAAUGGGAUUCAUAAUGUCCUGGAUUCCUUUCUUCGGGAUUAAGAGACUGUUUAUGACCUAACUUGAACAAUGAGAUGUAAUUCUUCUUUAGCUCAAGCUGUUAUGAAGCCAGAAAUAGAUCUGGACUAAGUAAGAUUGGACUUCGUGGCAAAAAUUGUGACUUAGGAGAUAAACGAAUGAAUGACUAAUAAGGAUUAGCCAUGUGAAAAGAUGCUCAACAUUGUUAAUAGAGAAUUGCAAGUGAAGAAUCACAGUGAGAAAACAUAUCCUUUCCACAAGGAUGGCUGUAACAUCAGAUAACAGGUAUUGAUAGAGAUAAGGAGAAAUCCGAAACUUACAAACUGCUGGUGUAUCCAUUUGGAAAAACACACCGCUCCUUAAAUUGUUAAAUAAAAAGUUAUUGUAUUGACUGGCAGUUUUUUUCCCUUGGUGUCUACUUUAGAGAAGUGAAAACAACUCAGUUCACACAAAAACUUGUACAUUAGUACAUGAGCAUUGUCUGUAGUAGCCAAAAGAUGAAGAUAAUACAACUGUUUGCCAGCUAAUGGAUAAAGAAUAUCUGGUUUAUUAACACAGGAGCAAGGUAUUGACACAUAGUGCAACAUAAAAAGUCACAGAGGAUCACAUAUCCUUGCAUUUACAUCAAAUAUCCAGAAUAGGGAGCUUUAUAAAGGUAGAAGGUAGAUUAGUGAGUGCUUAGGUGUGUGAAGGAGGGGGAGGUAGGGGGACAGUUAAUGAGUAUAGUAUUUAAAGUUUAGUACAGUAAAAGACACAUUUCCAUUAAUCCCCUGGCAGUACUCCCUGUUGCUCAAAUACACUUAUCCUAUUGUUCCUGCCAUGUUCUGAAACAGUUCUAGAAGUUCUCUUUCAUAGGUGUCUUCACAAGGUGUGUUAAAAAAUGUGAAUGUUUGCUGUGGAUUUAACUCAGUGGUUGCAUUGCUUGCCUUGCAAGCGCAAGGACACAAGUUCGAUCCCCAUGCCCUCCCCGCCAAAAAAGUGAAUGCUACUGCCAAGGACCAUCCAAUGGAAAGGCAGGCCGAAGACAUUACUGUGUGUCCUCAUCCACCUUGUUCACCAGAUUUGGCAUCAUGUGACUUCUGGCUUUGCCUGAAAAUCAGAAUGACCACUAAGAAUGUGUGCUGGUAGUUGUGAGCAGAGCGGCCUUCCCAGCAGUUGCCAGUGAGUGUUUCAGAAGUGCUCAGGUAGGCAGUUUACUUCCUCCACAGGU